rnacentral:sRNA from 1 species
CCAGGAGACUCUGGAGCGCCAGGCGCGGGGGCUCUGCACACAUGAUCUUCCUGUCCCUGGAGGUGAAGCUCCUGCAGUCGCUGAAGUAGGGAC